GAUGAACGCUGGCGGCGUGCCUAAUACAUGCAAGUCGAACGGAAAGGCGUGGAGCUUGCUCCUCUAAUGGUGGAGGGGGGCGGAAGAGUAAGGCGUGGAUCACCUACCUCUAGGACAGGGAUGAGUAAGGGAGACCAGUGCUGGUAACGGCCGAUAUAUUGAACGGGAGGGGGAAAGAGUGAUAGGCGGUUUUUGUGUCAGUUGUAGAUGGAUCCGCGCCGGAUGUGCUAGUUGGUAAAGUAACGGCUUGGCAAGGCAACGAUGCGUAGCCGACCUGAGAGCGUGAUCGCCCACACUGGAACUGAUCCACGGUCCAGACUCCUACGGGAGGCAGCAGUAGGGACUCUUCCGCGAUGGGCGAAAGCCUGACGGAGCAACGCCGCGUGGGUGAUGAAGGUCUUCGGGUCGUAAAACGCUCUUAUUGGUGAAGAACAAAUGUGUAAGUAACUAUGCACUUUUUGACGGUACCUAAUCAGAAAGCCCCGGCUAACUACGUG
rnacentral:rRNA from 1 species